rnacentral:tRNA from 1 species
GGGCGCUUAGCUCAGCCUGGAUUUAGAGUGCUUGGCUUCGGACCAAGCUGUCGGGGGUUCAAAUCCCUCAGCGCCCG